GAUGAACGCUGGCGGCGUGCCUAAUACAUGCAAGUCGAGCGAACGGACGAGAAGUUUUCUUCUCUGAUGUUAGCGGCGGACGGGUGAGUAACACGUGGAUAACCUACCUAUAAGGCUGGGAUAACUUCGGGAAACCGGAGCUAAUACCGGAUAAUAUUUUGAAACGCAUGGUUCAAAAGUGAUAGACGGGCUUGCGGUCACUUAUAGAUGUAUCCGCGCUGCAUUAGCUAGUUGGUAAGGUAACGGCUUACCAAGGCAACGAUGCAUAGCCGAACUGAGAGGGUGAUAGGCCACCCGGGAGGUUAGACGCGGACACUGCUCCUACGGGAGGCAGCAGAAGGGAAUCGUCCGCAGUAGGGGAAAACCUGACGGAGCAGCGGCACGUGAGUGAUGACGGCCUUCGGAGCGUAAAACCCUGUUAUUAGGGAAGAACAUAUGUGUAAGUAAAUGAGCACAGCUUGACGGUACCUAAUCAGAAAGCACCGGCUAACUACGUG
rnacentral:rRNA from 1 species